GAUGAACGCUGGCGGCGUGCCUAAUACAUGCAAGUCGAGCGAACAGACGAGGAGCUUGCUCCUCUGACGUUAGCGGCGGACGGGUGAGUAACACGUGGAUAACCUACCUAUAAGACUGGGAUAACUUCGGGAAACCGGAGCUAAUACCGGAUAAUAUAUUGAACCGCAUGGUUCAAUAGUGAAAGACGGUUUUGCUGUCACUUAUAGAUGGAUCCGCGCCGCAUUAGCUAGUUGGUAAGGUAACGGCUUACCAAGGCGACGAUGCGUAGCCGACCUGAGAGGGGGAUAGGCCACACUGGAACUGAGACACGGUCCAGACUCCUACGGGAGGCAGCAGUAGGGAAUCGGCCGCAAUGGGCGAAAGCCUGACGGAGCAACGCCGCGUGAGUGAUGAAGGUCUUCGGAUCGUAAAACUCUGUUAUUAGGGAAGAACAAAUGUGUAAGUAACUAUGCACGGCUUGACGGUACCUAAUCAGAAAGCCACGGCUAACUACGUG
rnacentral:rRNA from 1 species